AUUGAACGCUGGCGGCAUGCCUUACACAUGCAAGUCGAACGGCAGCACGGGUGCUUGCACCUGGUGGCGAGUGGCGAACGGGUGAGUAAUACAUCGGAACAUGUCCUGUAGUGGGGGAUAGCCCGGCGAAAGCCGGAUUAAUACCGCAUACGAUCCACGGAUGAAAGCGGGGGCCCUUCGGGCCUCGCGCUUUAGGGUUGGCCGAUGGCUGAUUAGCUAGUUGGUGGGGUAAAGGCCUACCAAGGCGACGAUCAGUAGCUGGUCUGAGAGGACGACCAGCCACACUGGGACUGAGACACGGCCCAGACUCCUACGGGAGGCAGCAGUGGGGAAUUUUGGACAAUGGGCGAAAGCCUGAUCCAGCAAUGCCGCGUGUGUGAAGAAGGCCUUCGGGUUGUAAAGCACUUUUGUCCGGAAAGAAAUCCUUGACUCUAAUACAGUCGGGGGAUGACGGUACCGGAAGAAAAAGCACCGGCUAACUACGUG
rnacentral:rRNA from 1 species